GAGGCGGGUGCCACUCACCUGAUGCUCCGGCCGCCCGGACGAGGACCCAGCCGAGGAGGAAUGGAAUAUGAUCUUUUUGUCCUCUGGAGCUGAAGGUGAACUGCAUGACCUGAAGGGCUUCUGAUGUGUGACUGUGGGACUGGACCACUGUGAGCCUGCAGCCACCCGCAUGCCUGGAACUGCUCAAAAGGAUCAAUGUCAUCAGGAAACACAACUGCAAAUGCUGUCACUCAGCCAGUUAAAGGAACGAUAAAGAAUAUGCUCCAGCCCUGGCUGGUGUUGCUCAGUGGUUAGAGCAUU